ACGUAGGGUGCGAGCGUUAAUCGGAAUUACUGGGCGUAAAGCGUGCGCAGGCGGUUUUGUAAGCCAGAUGUGAAAUCCCCGGGCUUAACCUGGGAAUGGCAUUUGGGACUGCAAGGCCGGAGUCUGGCAGGGGAGACUGGAAUUCCUGGUGUAGCGGUGGAAUGCGCAGAUAUCAGGAGGAACACCGGUGGCGAAGGCGGGUCUCUGGGCAGUAACUGACGCUGAGGAGCGAAAGCGUGGGGAGCGAACAGGA
rnacentral:rRNA from 1 species